UACCAGACUCCUACGGGAGGCAGCAGUGAGGGAUAUUGGUCAAUGGGGGAAACCCUGAACCAGCAACGCCGCGUGAGGGAAGACGGUUUUCGGAUUGUAAACCUCUGUCCUCUGUGAAGAUAAUGACGGUAGCAGAGGAGGAAGCUCCGGCUAACUACGUGCCAGCAGCCGCGGUAAUACGUAGGGAGCAAGCGUUGUCCGGAUUUACUGGGUGUAAAGGGAGCGUAGACGGCCAGACAAGUCUGAAGUGAAAAUCCAGCGCUUAACGUUGGAAGUGCUUUGGAAACUGCCGGGCUAGAGUGCAGGAGGGGCAGGCGGAAUUCCUAGUGUAGCGGUGAAAUGCGUAGAUAUUAGGAGGAACACCAGUGGCGAAGGCGGCCUGCUGGACUGCAACUGACGUUGAGGCUCGAAGGCGUGGGGAGCAAACAGGAUUAGAUACCCCCGUAGA
rnacentral:rRNA from 1 species